rnacentral:rRNA from 1 species
AUGGUGUUGGACCAUGCUGGAAAGGCGGCGGCCCUGCUCGCGUUCUACUCCGAGCUGUUGGGCAGGGCUCGACCCGCCGUGUGGCGCUUCGACUUGGAGGCUCUCUACCGCCACGCGCCGAGGGUGGAUGCGGCGGCUCUGGUCGCGCCGUUCUCGCCCAGCGAGAUUAAGGAGGCAGCGGACCUCCUUGACCGGACUAGCGUGCCCGGACCAGACGGCCUUGGCCCCGCGUUCUACCAGGCCGCUUCGAGUGCGGUCGCGGGCGACCUACAGCGGCUCUUCGACGCGGUUCAUGACGGCACCGCGGGCCUCGACGCCAUCAACCGAGCGUACAUUGCCCUGCUGCCCAAGGGUGUGGGCGUGCCGACGCCGGGCGCUUUCCGCCCUGUCUCCCUUCAGAAUGGGGACGUGAAAAUCCUCUGUCGUGGCCUCACCUCGAGGUUGCAGAAGCAGAUCGGGGGCAUCAUCGACGUCGACCAGUCGGGAUUCUUGGCAGGGAGGAGCAUCUCCGAGAACUUCGUGUAUGCCGCCGAGGUGAUCCAGUGCUGCCACAAACGGGGGGCGCCUGCCCUCGUGUUCAAGCUGGACUUCGCCAACGCAUUCGACUCGGUCAACUGGGGGGCGCUGCGCCGGAUCCUCAUGGCGCGCGGCUUUCCCCGUCGGUGGUGCGACUGGAUGGACCUGAUCUUCGAGUCCUCGCGGUCGGCGGUGCUGCUGAACGGCGUGCCCGGGCGGUGGUUCACGGUGCGCCGGGGGCUGCGGCAAGGUGACCCAUGUUCGCCCUACCUCUUCCUCAUCGUCGCCGAUGUGCUGCAACAAAUGAUC